AACCCCCUGUUUUACAGGGGGUUCUGAAAGCUUCUAGCUAUGAGUGAAAAAAAUCCUCCUUUUUGAUAUAAUAUAUGUGGUUCGCCAACCGCAAAUAAAAAUCAAAAAGGAGG
rnacentral:sRNA from 1 species